GUGCCAGCAGCCGCGGUAAUACCGGCAGCCCAAGUGAUGGCCGAUAUUAUUGGGCCUAAAGCGUCCGUAGCUGGCCGGACAAGUCCGUUGGGAAAUCUGCUCGCUCAACGAGCAGGCGUCCAGCGGAAACUGUUCGGCUUGGGACCGGAAGACCUGAGGGGUACGUCCGGGGUAGGAGUGAAAUCCUGUAAUCCUGGACGGACCACCGGUGGCGAAAGCGCCUCAGGAAGACGGAUCCGACAGUGAGGGACGAAAGCUAGGGUCUCGAACCGG
rnacentral:rRNA from 1 species